CCCAGGCCCCGUGAGCUUCCUGGCUGGCCUGGGCCUGGCCAUGGGCCUGGCGCUGCUCCUCUACUGCUGCCCUCCAGACCCCAGGGGGCUGCCUGGAGCCCGGCGCGUCCUCGGCUUCUCGCCCGUCAUCAUCGACAGGCACGUCAGCCGCUACCUGCUGGCCUUCCUGGCGGACGACCUUGGGGGGCUCUGACGGCCGGACCCGAGCCUCGCCCGCCGCUCGACAGAGUCCCCCCCGCCGCCUCCCCAAGGGGCUGGGGCUGCUUUUUCUCACUGCUUGUUUUUCAUUAUUUAUGACUUGUGUCAGAAGCUCGCCUUCACCUUAAAGGUGCUUAAUAUUAAAUGUUCAAGUCCUCA